rnacentral:rRNA from 1 species
UAAGACGAACCGUCCAAACGUUAUUCGGUAUCACUGGGCUUAAAGCGUGCGUAGGCGGCUUGGUAGGUGAGAUGUGAAAGCCCACGGCUCAACCGUGGAAUAGCGUCUCAAACCCCCAAGCUCGAGGAAGAUAGGGGUGAUGGGAACUUAUGGUGGAGCGGUGAAAUGCGUUGAUAUCAUAGGGAACACCGGUGGCGAAAGCGCAUCACUGGAUCUUUUCUGACGCUGAGGCACGAAAGCUAGGGUAGCGAACGGGAUUAGAUACCCCGGUAGUCCUAGCCGUAAACGAUGAGCACUGGGUUGAGGGAACUUCCACAUUCUCUCGGCCGUAGCGAAAGCGUUAAGUGCUCCGCCUGGGGAGUAUGGUCGCAAGGCUG